GGCAGCACAGUAAGAGCUUGCUCUUACGGGUGGCGAGUGGCGGACGGGUGAGGAAUACAUCGGAAUCUACUUUUUCGUGGGGGAUAACGUAGGGAAACUUACGCUAAUACCGCAUACGACCUUCGGGUGAAAGCAGGGGACCUUCGGGCCUUGCGCGAUUGAAUGAGCCGAUGUCGGAUUAGCUAGUUGGCGGGGUAAAGGCCCACCAAGGCGACGAUCCGUAGCUGGUCUGAGAGGAUGAUCAGCCACACUGGAACUGAGACACGGUCCAGACUCCUACGGGAGGCAGCAGUGGGGAAUAUUGGACAAUGGGCGCAAGCCUGAUCCAGCCAUACCGCGUGGGUGAAGAAGGCCUUCGGGUUGUAAAGCCCUUUUGUUGGAAAAGAAAUGCAGCUGGCUAAUACCCGGCUGUGUUGCGAGUACCCGAAGAAUAAGCACCGGCUAACUUCGU
rnacentral:rRNA from 1 species